GCUCAUCCCUGCGUGGCUCCCGGCUGUGGUCAUCACCUGAAAUCCUCCGGGAUGAUGAAGCUCUGGGUCACCUUGCUGCUGGCCGGGCUUGUCUGCAGCCUGGCUGCUGGCCUUCCUCUUGAUGAGACGUCAUCUGGAAGCUCCGAUGUCGAGGCAGCCAAGGAGGGUGACGGAGGAGUGCUGGCCCUAACCGUUGACCUGCUGGACAGACUGGUGAAGGGUUUGAGUUCCAGCCUCAUCGGGUGACCAGCAAGCCAGCACAGGUUGGCCCCGGGUGCCAGCAUGCUCCCUGGGGAGCAGGAUGCGUCCCUCUCCUCCCUCCGAGCAUCCCUGGCUAUGCAUAAGCAUCGCGCAGCUCCCUGAUGCCGGGUCUGGUUGACUCCCAGCUCAUCCCACGGCUCUUCUCGCACCACGUGCGUGCAUCGCUCCAGACCAAAGCUACCAAUAAAGCAAACCCCUAAUUGCU